AUACUUACCGGCAAAUGAGCUACCGUUAUCAAGACGGUUCACCCAGGGCGAGCUCAAAGCCAGUGCCAAUGUGGCUGUGCUGACCCCUGCGAAUUUCCCAAAAAUGCGGAAAUCUCGAUUGACUAAUUAUGGUAGUGGGGGACUCGUUCGCGCCUCUC